rnacentral:lncRNA from 1 species
UAAGUUUGCCUUAUACGAGUUUUUUAAUAACUUUAGUUACAAUAAUCUCAAAAAAUUCUUCAAAAUUUUUAAACUAUAUAUUUCAAAAUAUCCCAAAAUUUACAUACUUUAAAAUUUUUUCCCUAUAAUUUUUACAGUAAAGUUUUAAACAAACACUCAAAAAACUCAUAUGCCAAACAGGCCUUUGAAGUUGUGAUUAGUUUGUUGAAUGUAAUAGUCGACAUCAUCAUAGAUUGCUUGUGAUUUUAUGCAAAAAAAAAAAAAAAAAAAAAAAAGAUGAACUUAAAAACAGUAACAAAUGUCAAUGUAAAAUAUAUUGUAGACAAUUAUUGGUGUUAAUGGCAUAGAAAUAUGUGUAUGAUUGAAAAGUACUACUGUUUAUCUUGUUCUUUUUUCUCCUUAGCGUGGGGUCUCUUGAAUCCGAGGCGGUGGUCGGAAAGGAGGAGAACUAAAGAAGAUAGGCAAAGAAAAACAUCUGAUUCGUCAAAAACGCUAACUCGGAUCCUCCUCCCUCUCUUAUUAAUUAGGACGAAUCAUGAUGGCUGAUCAUUAAGAGGCUUGGGGUUUUUGUGACUCAUUUACAUGUUAUACUAGUAUGUUACGCAAUUUCAUAAUUUUUCUCAAAUUAACAUAGCGUCCCACUAAGAUAAAUAUUUUAAAAGUUAAAUUCCUAUUCAUUAUUACAUGAAAUACUAGUUAGUUUGUUUGGAUUGCUUCAUAUUUCUCCAAUUUUAUUUGCUUACAUCAUCUUUACAAUUUCCAAUACACCUUUUUAUCUUCCCAAUAUCUUUUUAUCUCACAUACAUCACAUCACAAAAAGUGCUACAGUAAAAAUAUCUCAAAUAAUCCCAAAUAACUUACAAUCCAAACAGAGUUAUUCAUAUGUAACAAGAGUACAGCGUGGAAAGUUAUAGCAGAUGAUAUCUUUGUUUGAAUUGACCUUUAUUUCCUCAAAUAUAUUUGUUUACAUCAUCAUUACAAUUUCCAAUACACCUUUUUAUCUUUUCAAUUACCUUUUCAUCUCAUAUACAUCACAUCACAAAAAAUGCUACAGUAAAAAUAUCUCAAAUAAAGAACGGCUGCGCAAACAUAUGAAAUAAACGUGACAAAGUUGACCAAUGCAUUAGUUCGUUUAUUAUGUCUAAACAAAACAAAUCCGCAAAAGUGAAAUUUUAUGGAGUACGUACUUGUAAUAAUUGAUGACUAUGAUAAAUUGAUUUUACUUUUUACUGCAGGCGGCUACAACUUUCAAAGUUUAUGGAUCGAUCUUCACUCUCGCUUACUAUGAUAUUUAGUGAAGAAUUGCGACAGGUUGGAUUCGGUGGUCGGUGCAAAAGUGCACUAAGAUAAUCAUAUGUAGUAGGAUUGUAUUUUGUACUAUUGUUUGCAUCACACAUGGAUAUGGUAGUUUCUUUACUGAAUUCACGGGGGCAAAAAAAAUGUAUCAUGACGAAUAACAAAGUACUUCAUGAUGUAAAUCUCAUAAAAGGGGUCAAAUAAUAGAGCAAAAGUUUCUUCCAAUACAUGGUUAUGGUUUCUUUCUUUCUUUCUUUCUUUCUUUUUUUACCUUGCCCCUAAUCCUCAAUUGUAUCAGUUCCCAAAAAGUUUGUGUAAAGUAAUUAUUUAAAAACUUAUGCAAACGUAGAUAUUGCCAAAUUUUCAGAUCUAUUUAUUAUACGCUCAAAUGACAAUAAUAUUAGUGAAGCUCAUGAUUUUGCCUUCGAGAGCUAGUAAAGUAGGGUAUUACUAAAUCAUUACAAGUAGCCCAAAAAAAAAAUUAUGUUUCUAGUGUAGGACAAUAAAUUAUGUCUACUUGUUUCUUGAAAUGUUUGAUUGGAACGGACAACCCCUUGUUAACGUCACAAUGGUGAGUUAGACACAAGCAAGUUUGAAGAGGGGAAAAAUUGGAUUGGACGAUGAAAUGAAAGGAAUAAUAAGUAAGAGGUCUGAAUUUAAAACUUUUACUUAUUAAUAAUUAUUAUUUUUUUUUUUUAAAAAAGAGCGCUUCUAUCCUGCGUGCACGGACUCCUUGCUCAAGUCCACACGAGGAAGCCCAGUCAAUUUGACGCAAUGGGCCAGACAUUAGCCUAGUGUUUCCUGAUCUUCUUCGCAUAGUCAAACCCCAUAGUAAUCUCGAUCACAGUCCCAAGUGACGUGGCAACAUUAGCGUUAAUUUCAGUUCAACCCUCAAAAGUAGUAAAAUUAUCAACCGGAUUAAUCACACUUUAUCCCCUUUAAGUAUGAGCUAUUUCUCAAUUUACCCCCCAACGUUUGUUUUUCACAGUUUACCCCCUCCAUCAGUCUAGCUAAGCAAUUGCACCGUUAAAAACUUCAAGAUACCGAAAUUGCUAUUGGAUGAGAGCCAUUUGUUUUGGCUGACUAAAAUGUUCUUCAAUGAGUUAUAAAAAUGGGUGUCUGGUGUUUUUUAGCCUAUUUUUUCUUUUUCAUGCUUCCAUCCAGUUGUAACUUAUUUUUUCUCUUUCAUUUCAAUAAAUCCAAAAGUUCUUAAAAUUUUUCUUUGUCAACCAAAAGUAUCAUAAAAAUGUCACAAAAUGCUUCAAAUAACAUUGAAAGAUCGCCCCAAAAAAUGCGUGAUGUGGUAAAAAGGCACCAUUGUGCACCUCUUGGAUACUUGAAAAUUCGAAAAGAAGAUUUUACUGUUACUCAAAUUACAAUGUAAGAAUUUUUCAUUAAUAAUAUGUUAUUAUUGUCUUUAAUUUUGUUCUAUACAUGAAUAAGUCAAAAAGAGUUUUAGACAGCUAUAUGAAUAAUUUUUUUUUUGUCCCAUGUGCCAAAUGGAGAGAAAUUCCCCUCCUCCACAGUCCACAUCUCAUGGUAAUUUUGGAAACUUUUAUUUAUCUCUUUCAUAAACCUAGAGAUAUGGGUAUUUUGGGUUGUUCAUUAUUUUCUUAAGAGUAUUAUUGUCUUUUCAUUAUUCUGUUUAUCUCCAUUAGAGUUGACCGUUAGUCUUUGAGGUAAACUGUAGAAAACAAACGUUGGGGGUAAAUUGAGAAAUGGCCUAAGGAGAUAAAGUGCAAUUAACCCCUAAAAAAAUAAAAAAACAAAUUUGGUAUCACAGCUAAACAAUAAAAAGUGUUCAAAGUAGGCUCAACGCUAUUAUUUGUUGUAGCUGCAACUUGAUGUAACUUUGGAUAGAGCAUGAGCACCGAAAAAAAAAAAUCUCAUGGGAAUUAACAUCUUACACAAGUCAUUUUAAGAAAUGAAUGUAGAGAAGUUCUUCAUCCAGUGAAUCAUAUUUAAAAUCUAGAAAUUAAAGACUCUGAAUUCUAAUUUUUUUUUUAAAAAAAUCUCAUCCUCAGUUUUCAAAUCCCACAAGUCUCCUGUUAGGAAAAUAAAGUUGUAAUUCACAUUUAAAAGCCAUGAUAGACCGUGGCAAAUGUUUCACCCAUGUAGUCGCAAUCUGUUACACUUUCUAUUAUAUUCAUUAAAAUAGUUAUAUUUCUAAAGAUGAUAUUUGACUUUCAUUCUUUCAAACACUUAAGCUAUUAACUAUAUACAUAAGAGUUCAAGAGCUAAAAUUGUAUAAAGAGGCUAUCUUACGCCUAAAAAAAUCGGUAAAACAACCUUUUCAAAACUUAGUAAAUGAUGAAAAAAGAAAAAAAAAAUAAUGAACACAAUCAACGCCAUGUUUUUUCUUCGGUCUUUGCAAAACUACCUUUUGCCUAAAAUUGUAAGAGUUUAAGAGCUAAAAUUGUAUAGAGAGGCUAGCUUAUGCCUAAAAAAUUCGAUAAAACUACCUUUCCAAAACUUAGUAAAUGAUGAAAAAGAAAAAAAAAGAAUGAAUAUAGUCAACGCCAUGUUUUUUCUUCGGUCUUUGCUUCAUAUAUUGUGCGUGUAUGUAUUAUUUAAAAUGACUAUUGUAACACUUUUAAUUAUAUGAUAAAUGUGAAAUGUAAAAGUAUUUAAAAAUAUAAAAAUGUGAUUGAAAAAUAUAUUUAUGAUAAAAAAAAUUUUAAAUAAUUUAUGCACGCAAAUACACCUAUUAUUUGGGGACAAGCAAGGUCGGUUAGAUCGUAGGUCAAGAGAGUAACUAUAAUGGAGCUAAGGACUGAACUAGAACAUUUCCUGAGGCCAAAUUGAAAUACCAAUCCCUGAAAUGAUACUUGCCCACGCUGUGGUCCUAAAGGCUUGCCACGAAUAUCACAAUGACGCGAGCCAGCGGCACCUUUACCUAGUGCCUUCGUCACAUUUACACAGAGUCACGCAGCCGCAGAGCAGCUGCAGUAAUAUACUAUAUAUAAUAUAAGGGAUUGAUUGAAAUGGGGGCGUUGGCGUUUGAGGUCCGCAACCUCACGCGCGUGUCGUCCUUCGCGACUCUUGCUCAACUUCCCAAGCACUUGUGUUAUUCAUUCCUCACUUUCCCCCCUCUUCACAAGCAGCGCUUUUCGUUCUCAGUCAUGGCUUCCGUUAACAAAAAGGCAAAGAACCAUACUCAAAAUUUCACUGCUGACAAAAAAUUCUACUACUAGAAUUCGUUUUUGAGCUUGAUUUUUGUUUUUUGUUUGUCUGUCUACCAUUUUGGUGAUAGGUUUUGGUGCCGAUUGCGAAUGGGACCGAGCCAGUGGAGGCGGUGGUGCCAAUAGAUGUGUUGAGGAGAGCUGGCGCGGAGGUUACGGUAGCUUCGGUGGAGAAGCAGCUGCAAAUUGAUGCUUGCCGCGGUGUUAAAAUCGUUGCCGAUGCCUUGAUUUCUGACUGCGCCGAUAACGUCUUCGACCUCAUUUCUCUUCCGGUAUCGACAAGUUUUUGGCUUAUGCCGUAUGGACUAAAAUUGUUUUUUUUUUUUUUUUGGUUUAUUGAUUGCUUUUUUUCCCCUGUUUUUUGGUGGCCUUCAGUGUUGGUUUUCUUAUUUAUUUGCCAUUUUUUUUAAAGUUUCCCCCUUGUUGAGAGCGGGGUAUUAGGAAAUUGUAUGAAAAGUGGCGAUCAAAAUGGAAUACCAUAGAGCUUUAUGAGUGAGCUUCUUAAUUUCAAUGACUCCUUUACUCCAGUUGACAUUUUUAUUAGAAAUUUAUACAAAUACAGUUGGUUUUAUUUUUUUUAAAAAUCUGACUUUGAAACUGAUCCUUAAAACAUACCGUUAGAAACAGCUAUUUAUUUUUUGGUGUCUCAUUUGAGUGAUUCAUUACUAUAGUGGCCUCUCGUCGAGAAAAUUGAAUUUGUUUCUGGCAAAUUAAUUUAUUCUUCAUUUAUCUGUUUUUGGUAUAGGGAGGAAUGCCUGGUGCAACAACGCUUAAAGAUAAUAAAACUUUGGAAAGCAUAGUGAAAAAGCAGGCUUCAGAAGGCCGAUUAUAUGCUGCAAUAUGUGCAUCUCCUGCUGUUGCACUUGGCUCAUGGGGCCUAUUGAAGGGGAAGAAGGUGAUGAACGAUAUUCCAUGAAGUUAUAGUGCUAUCUAGUGAUCAACUUCUAACCAGAUAAUGAUUUUUUUGACUAGGCAACUUGUUAUCCAUCAUUCAGGGAGCAGUUAUCUGCCGCUGCUGCGAUUUUUAGCGACUCAAUAGUUGAGCAUGAUGGCAAUGUUGUGACGAGUCAAGGACCUGGAACAGCCAUGGAGUAUGCCGUUGCACUAGUUGAACAAUUAUUUGGGAAGGAAAAAGCUAAAGAAGUUUCUGGGCCAUUGGUACGUUUCUUUGCCUUUUACCUUUCCUCACUGACAUAAGGCGUUUUAAUGUUUAUUAUAGACUCUAGAGGAUCACAAUCGACCAUUUUGUUAUUAUCUGGCUUACUACUUUUCCUGAUGCAUCUAUCUAUUCUGUGCGGCAGUUUUUACAUAAUUAGCUUCUUGCAUAAUUUUUGUAUAAGCAUUUCUCACAAGCUGUUUAUUCCUAGGUUAUGCGCACCAUUCACGGGGCUGAAUUCCUGUUUGCUGAAUUUAAUCGAGUCAAUUGGACAUGUGAUGGCUCCCCUAAGGUAAUUUAUGUCUAGGUUUAGGUUGUUGCUUAAUACUUUUUUGUACUAGUACAUCUCAUCCAAGCCACGAUGUCAUACCCCUGCCUCGACUUGAAUCACUAUGUAGGUUUAGUCUGGUACUUCAAUUUGUUCAACCUCCAGUAAUCUCACAUGCAUGUCCAUGACAAAUUGAGGGGCCUGUGAUGUGAUAAUUCCUUAUCUACCAAGCCAUGCCAGUUAGGUUGCAUUGUUGAUUAUAUACUUUGCCUUUUCUGUCACAGUAUGUCUAGGCUGAUAAUUCAUGUCAACUUGUUCUACUAUCAAAGACCUUAUUCAGGUUAAAUUUUUUGCUGCUUCUAGAGGUAACCAAACUGCUUCUCUUCCUUUCACAUUCCAAAAUUUGACUUUUUGUGUCAAACCUCCUCUUUGUAUUCUUUGUGAACUAAAAAUCAAUGACUGUUUUGAAUAUGCAAUUGACAGCCAUUAACAUUGUUUUGCACAAUCAUGUGUUUACAUCCAGUUUUCCUCUUCUUUUUGCCUUUUAGAUUCUUGUACCUAUUGCUAAUGGCACUGAGGAAAUGGAAGCUCUUAUUAUUAUUGAUGUACUUCGAUGGGUAAAUGCUGAAGUUCUGGUGGCAUCUGUUGAGGAUAAACUAGAAGUUGUGGCUUCUAGAAAAGUGAAACUCGUUGCAGAUGUGCUCCUUGAUGAUGUUGUUAAUGGCUCAUAUGAUGUUAUUGUGUUGCCGGUAUGAGAGCUACAUUUGUUCUAUCAAGCCAACAACACCUGAAAAUGCAGUCUGAUUUUUUUAACAUUUUGUACAUAUUCAGGGAGGACUUGGUGGCGCGCAAGCCUUUGCGAAAUCAGGAAAGUUAAUUAAUUUGCUGAAGAAGCAGCGUGAAUCUAAUAGACCGUAUGGAGCAUUCUGUGCUUCCCCUGCUUUAGUCUUGGAACCACACGGCUUGCUCAAGGUAGCAUUUUGAGAUGCGUCACUGCGUGUUUAGUGUUCAAUUUGGGUAUAUGCAGCUAAGGAGUAUAAAGCUUUUCUCCAAAAUUCAAGCAUAUUGGAAGUCAACAAAUUCAUGAAUUCCUGAAAUUUUGCCUCGAAAUUUGUAGUGCUUCCAUCAGCCUCGUCUCUUCUUUGUGUACCUCGUUUAGUUUGAAGGCUACCAUUCUGAUGUCAAAAUAUUUGGUUUACCCUGCACUGGGUAGUUUCAUGUCCGUUUUUGUCACUAAUACCUACUCAGUUUUAAGUAUGUAUUCUUUUUCACCUUGAUAUGAUGUCUUUUGCUCUCUUCAGGGUAAAAAGGCUACUGCGUUCCCUGCACUGUGCGACAAACUGACUGAUCCAAGCGAGGCAGAGAACAGGGUGGUUGUGGAUGGCCAUCUCAUCACUAGUAGAGCGCCAGGAACCUCACUGGAGUUCGCGUUUGCUAUUACAGAGAAGCUCUUUGGGCGCGAGAAGGCUCUAGAACUUGCAAAGUUCUUGGUUUUUGUUCGUUAGUGGGCUUGGAACCGGACUCCCUCUUACCUUUCUCGUCCCCUUCCCCAAAGAAAUCCGAUGAUGAACUAAUCGACCUUGUGUAUGUAGACGUGUAUGAUAUAGAAUAAAUUUUGGAGCUUGGGUGUUCUGAGAUUUUCAGUUUUCGUAUCUUUUGGCUUUUACGUUGUCUUUGCAAUGGGAUGGCUUAUAUUGGUCAUCAGAGGUCAAAACAUUUGCACUAGUUUUUAAAGUUCCAAGAAUACAACGCGCUUAAGCAGCCAGUCAAACGAGCUGGUUGCAUUUGUCAUUUGGGCCUUUAAUGUCGGAGUAGUCAAGAACCAGAUUCAUUUUCUCAUGGAUGAUGUGUUGGGAGUUGGGACAGUGGUUUCACUGGUUUGGGACUUCUGAGACCGUUAUCCGUUUUGAAGUUGCUCUGCCCUUUCCGAUUGCAGCGAGAAGCUGAGGUGGGCACACGAGUUUUGACGUUUCUUCUUCUUGUCAGUCAAAACACAAAAAGUUGUAGAUGUAGCGAAUUUUACUUCUCCCGAUUUUACUUCUCCCGAUUGGGGGGGGGGUUUGGGUUUGGUUUAUAAGUCCCUGGAAGGACCUCAAGAGUUGCCGGCUUUUGAGGUUUCUUCUGGGAUUAGGUUUAUAAAAGCCGAAUUUCUAGACUUCAGUUUAGAAAAGGUCAAGAUUUGGAAAACAGCAAGAUCACGCGGGAGAUGGACCCUGCAUGCCGUCUCUAAAAUUUCGAUUGAGGGAUAACAUUUUGUUAUUUAAGCAAAUGAAUCUUGGAAAAAAUUAUGAAUUUUCCAAAGAAAAACCUUGUACGUGCCAAAUUUCCCCAUGUACAAAUUAUGAGCUCGAGAAGCUCCCGUUGUUGUUGUUGUUGUGGUUUUGGGUCCUCCGUUGUUUUUACCUACAAAGAAAUUGGCUACCAAACGUGAAAAGAAAAAAAGCAAGAACUUGAUGCAACUGUGCUGUCAAAGAAAACUUGCACUCUUGGACAUGUAAUGUGUGUUGUUUCCGGUACCUUAACUCUGCUAAUCUGCUUGCAAUGAGUUGGAUUCUCUAAUGUUUGGUCAUUAAUUUAUUGUGCAUGCAAAAUAUUGGGAUCUUAUUAAUCUUUAUGACUAAAAGUAGUAGUAUUUUCCAACGUCUAUCAGAAAUUUCUUGAAUUAAAUAUCAAGUGCCUUUUCUUUCGUGCAUAUGUAUAAAAGUUCAAAAAAAAUAUAGUAAUUGAUUCCUUACAACGUGCUUCAAUCAAUCUAGUGGGAAAAUCGCACUUCAUGGGCGUGCAAAUUAAGAAAACAAUUAAAAUAAAAAAUUAAUAGUAAUGAAAAUUAUUAUUAGCAAACUUUUGCUUUUGUGAAAGUAGAAUAAUAAAAUCACACAAAAUUUUAAUAUGAAAUUCCUUCCUCAUGCUUUAUAUAUAAUAUACAAAUCAGCCAUUUUGCAGCAAAGUUUAGAUAAUGAAAAGUUUGAGAGAAGGAUGAGUUGAAUGAUUAAGAAAAAGUAUGAAUGGCAUUUUCUUUGUAAUUUUUUAUAAAAAAUACUGUAACGAUUUGAUAUAUAUAAAAUAAAAAAAUAAUUAAAAAUAUAACGAUUUAAUAUAUGUGAUAAUUUUUUACAAUCCAAACACUUCGCUGACCGGUGUUGUCUGACGACUUUUUGCUAACAUAAAACUACCACGUGUUAUUCAUUCAUGUUGAAGGUCAAUGGUCUAAAAUUCUUGUCCCUUUUACACGUGACAGCUCUCGCCGUAAAUCAUUUGCGAUUACCUUUGUUCGGUUUUUACUACUACAAAUAGGGCUGCAAACGAGCCGAGCCGAGUCGAGCUUUGAGCUAAUCGACCCGAGCCUCGACUAAAUUUUACCAAGCUCGAGCUCGAGCUCGAGCUCGACGAGCCGGCAAAUUUCGAGCUCGAGCUCGACUCGAAUCAAGUCGAGCCGAGCUCGAGCUCGAAAAAAAAUAAAAAAUAAAUAUUUUAUUUAAAAAAUAAAUAAAUAAAAUAAUAUUUUUUUCUUAAUAAAUAAUAAAAUUUUAAGGACAUAUACGUAAUUUUACUAUGAAAAUAAAAAAUAAAAAAUAUAUAUAUAAUAUACGUAAUUUUAUUAUUAAAUAAAAAUAAAAAUAAAAAUAAAUAUAUAUAUACCCAAGCUCGCGAGCCGGCUCGCGAGCUAACGAGCUUAAUAUUCUGAGCUCGAGCUCGAGCUCGAGUUUGACUCGAGCCGGCUCGAGCUCGACUCGAGUUCGAUUAACAUCGAACUCGACUCGAGCUUGACUCGAGCCGCUCGCGAGCGGCUCGAUUCGUUUGCAGCCCUAUUACUACUAUAUAAGCAUUAGAGUACAGAAUUUACACUGCUCAAACUCUUUACCUUGGCCUGCACUUGCCUCUUGUUCGAUCGUUGCAAUGACAAUAAAUUAAGAUUGGCCCAAUUUGUUUUUCGAAUGUAGAAUUGUCAUUGCAAAGAAUCUUCACUAUAUUGAGCUGGUCGUGACAAUUAUUCAGAUGGGCUCCCCCUUUUUAGGGUGGCAAUAGGGGCGGGUGCCCGCGGAGGCUAAUGGGGAAAGGAUUGGGGCUGGGGCUGGGGCGGGGGCGGAGGGCGGGGGAGUGUACUCCCGCCCCGCCACCCGUUUUAAAAAAAUAAAUAUAUAAAAUUUAUAUGUAUAUAAUUAUAUAUAUAAUAUAUAAUUUAAUUAGUUACAAAUUUAUGAUAAUGAUAUUCUUAGUUAUAUGUAUUAUAUAAUGACUAUUAGUAUAUAUAAUAUAAUUGAUAUUAUUAAUUAUACUAAUAAUUAUAUAUGUGUACUAAUAUAAAUUAUUAAUUGGUUAUAUUAAAUUUAUUAAUACAUUUAUACUAAAUCCCUAAUUACACUUAAUACAAUAACAUUUUUUUUUAAAAAAAAAGCACAAGCACAAUAAUGAAUUAGUGAUUGUAUUUGUGCCAAAAGUGAAAACUUGACUAUUUUAAUUAUAUUUAUUUCAUCAUGUUGGAUUGUAUUCAAAUAAUUUUUAUUUGAUUAUUUUUAUAAGUUUCAAUUGUAAAAUUACAAUGAAUAAUAAUUUGAUGAUAUAUUGAUAUUUUACUACUUAAUUAUUUGCUAAAAUUUAAUCAUAAUAAAAUUAUAUAACAAAUUUUUAUUAAUCCGUGAAAACACCACGGGGAAGCGGGGCGGGCGGGACGGGGCGGGGGGAGGGGGAACGGGGGCUGGGGGAGGGGUCCCCCGGCCCACCCCGCCCGUUGCCAUCCCUACCUUUCUCCUCCUUUUUCCAUUUGCUGUCUCCCUCGAAACCAAACAAAACAAAGACAAGAAUUACGCGUAGCUAUUAACCCAUCAGCUCGUGUAUUAAUGAGUUCCUACCAAUCUACAACUGGAGUUGGAAGUUGGAACUGGAGCACAGAACAAAAUCAGUUAACGGCUCUGACCAGGUAAAAACUAAAUGCUGGAAUGAAACUUCAAACUUGACUAUUUCUAAUUUUAUUUUAGUCUGUCUUGCGAAAAUAAAAGCAUCCCAGCCCACUUUUAAGCCAUUACAAUUCUCCUGCACCAGCCCUCUCCUGGUUCACCAAGAUAGUACCGUAAAGGUGAGCUUUCCAUCUCUUUGUUUCUUGAAGAUAUUUUUGGGCCUUCUUUAGCAUGUGCAAUAGCGGAUAGCUUUUCUCUGAACUUCGGCGAUUCUCUCAAUCCUUUUCAUGCUUGAUUAGUCAAGCACCUUUGAUGAAUUGUGAAUUUUUCUGUGAAUCUUGUUAUAGACCAUAUUCUUAUGUUUGUAGCUUGAUAAGUGCAUGUUAUCCUUGGUUUCAGUGAUUCUUAUAGCUAGUUUAAAGGUCAUUUAUAUCCUUAUUGGCAAAUAAUUUAUUAUUAUGAUGUCUUUGCAAAGGUAGCUGAUUGGCCCUGUUGAAUCUGGCUCAAUUGGAUAUGAAUUAUGAACAGGAACCAGUAAUUAUAAUCUAAUGUGUGUUUGCUGAAUCCUGCUUUUCUAAAACCAAUGCGCAAAACAAUAUGGUAAAUGCUUGUGUAGGUGCUAUGAUGCCUUUUGUUCCCUUUUACGGAGAAUUUAUGUAGUUUUCAUUCGUCAUUGGUGCAUAUUAGUUCUUGCGGAUGGCUUUGACUUGGUCCUGAGGUACUGUGCCUCGCAAAUUCCUCUUUUAAAUGAUGAUGCAAACGUUGCCUUUGGCCUGGUAAUACCGAUAGGGUCUUCUCAGGAGAGGUCUUAGGAUUCACUUCUUGAUCAAUUUCAGAAUUAGAACUUAAGCCUUUCUGUUUCCUUUUCUUUUUAUUCCUUCAAUUUGUACCUUCAAAGAGAUCAUUUCUGCUUCACUUAUCUUAUAGUUACACUAUGUGUUAUCGAUAGCAAAAUAGUAAUCUUAAUUUAUAUAAAUCUUUACCUGACCUGUAAUGUCAGAUCAGAACUUGACAAAGUUCUAAACUUUACAAAUUUAUUUGUCACAGUUGUUCUUGACAGGUAGUUUGUUCUGAUUCGAAUUCUUAAUUGGCACACGAGAUGGGUGCAGGGAGUUGUUUUACUUUCUGUUUCAAACAAAAAGCUUCUUCUCCAACUUGGGGAACAAUAGAACUUGAGGAAGGUGGGUUUCUGGAAGAGUCACUUGGUACUUUAACAUCCAAUCUAUUAUCCAGAUACCGAAUUGGAUAAAUUCAUGUUGUCUGAAGCAUGAUAAUGGUCCUUCGUUAAUUCUUGACUUCAAUGAUGAGCUCACAUUUCUUAAUUCUUGAUCACUUUCUUCAAUAAAUGCUUGCAACAGCUCUUGAACAUGUUUUUAUGGCAUAUAUACUAUAUACAAUGAUGCGUUUUUUAUAUGCAUGAAACUGUUCUAAGUAGCUUCAAAAUGUAUACAGAAGGUUUAAAUGUAGACAAUGCUAGGCUCUACAGCUACGGAGAUUUGCGAAUUGCAACUGAAGAUUUCAGUCCUGUAAAUAAAAUUGGGAAAGGAGGGUUUGGUUCAGUGUAUAAGGUAAUACUUUUUGUUUCAUAUCAUCCUUCUUUGGGGAAUUACUUUGCUACUGGUGCUUGAGAUAUGUAGUUGAAUUGUCUACUAAUUGUCAGGGGAGGCUAAAAGAUGGAACACUGGCUGCUAUAAAAGUGCUUUCUGCUGAUUCAACUCAGGGCGUACGAGAGUUCUUGACGGAAAUAGUGACAAUUUCAGGUCUAGAACAUGAAAACCUGGUAAAGUUGCAUGGCUGUUGUGCUGAAGGGGACCACAGGAUAUUGGUCUAUGGCUAUCUUGAAAAUAAUAGCCUUGCUCAGACUCUUCUUGGUAACUCAUCGCCUCUUGUCAUUUCGAAAACUGUAAUUUUUAUUUGAUUUAGGUAGGUUAUAAAUUUCAUUAUAUAUAGGUGGUCACCGCAGCAGCAUUCAAUUUAGCUGGAAAACGAGGACUAAGAUAUGCAUAGGGAUUGCUCGAGGGCUUGCAUUCCUCCAUGAGGAAGUCCAACCCCCUGUUAUACAUAGAGAUAUAAAAGCAAGCAACAUUCUUCUUGAUAAAGACCUUACACCAAAGAUUUCAGAUUUUGGUCUAGCGAAGCUCUUUCCGUCUAGUUUAACCCAUAUUAGCACACGCGUUGCUGGGACUCUGUAAGUUUAUUUUCAGUAUAUAUCUAAACUCCUUCCUCUCAUAUAAUGUACUGCAGAAGAAAAUGGACAAAGAAAGCAAAGAGUUUGCAACAAAUGCAAUUAAUCUAUAUGACUCAAAGUCUAAUGUAUUUUUUACUUAUAAUUUCUACAUUGUUGCAUGUUCUUAGAGGUUAUUUGGCCCCUGAGUAUGCAAUUCGAGGCCAGUUGACACGGAAAGCUGAUAUAUAUAGCUUUGGUGUUCUCCUUUUGGAGAUUGUCAGUGGUAGAUGCAACACAAACAAGCGGUUGCCUGUCGGUGAACAGUUUCUUCUUGAAAAGGUAUGCAAUUCUUCAUUUGCUCAUACUGAGAGGUUUAUUCCUUGGACUAUUAUAAGUAGAAUAUAUUUUUGAAUUACCAUCUGAAGAAGUUCUUGCUACAAGAAACAAAUGAGUAGGAUAUUAACUGAUGUGCUGAGUAGAUGAGUACUAAUUUGUCUACUAUGGAAGAAUGGAUUAAGAUACCUAGCCUCCACCUUUUAGAACCUGAAAUGAUGAGUAUAAACCAAUAUUAGAUAAUGAAGCAGUUCCUACUGAAACUCAAGUUGCCAACCUAUCUGUCCUUCCUUUUCACUUUUUUCCCAUUCUACAAUGUAAACAUAUCUAAGUAAUAUAAUCACACAUUUUAGGUAUAGCUGAUGAUAGCAAAAUGCAUGGUCUUGAUGCUACUAGUGAAUGCCUUUGGAUUCAUCUGUUAUCCAUUAACUAUGCCUUUUAGCCUGAUUCUGGGCCUUUGCUCAUUUUCUGUCAACAAGCAGGUCAUGACAACUGAGGAGAGAUAAGUGAAAGUAGUCACUGAACUAUUUAUCAACAUGGGGAGUAGCUGACAUCUGUAAUCUAUUUGACGGGAUAGUUGUAAAACCGCUCUUUGCAUUAUAUAAUCACCAUACUCUCUCGUUCCACAACCUUUAACCACCAUGUAUUACCAGUUGAAUUCCUUAUCAUCCUUAUAGUUGAAUGUGCAAGUGUCUACCUCACUCAUGAUUUGAAAGUGUUUGUUGUAUCAAGAAGGUCUACAAGUGUAUUAACUUAGUGGUUCGUGUUGGCAUUUUUCUGAUCACUAUGUUUUCUUUUGCCAGAUGGCUCUAUUGGAGAGAUGAAAUGUUGUUUGGCCACAAUUAAUAUAUGAGAUGAUGAUGUUUGAAUGCAGCUUAAUGUUUCAAAUCUCAAGUAGGAGUUCACAAUAAUAACAAUUGGAAACUGACUGUUCAUGUGUGCAGUUCCAUAUUCAUUUUCUUGUCUAGUUAUUUCUGCUGAUAAUUGGCCUUCCCUUUUUCCCUUGUUCUCCUUUCCAUUCCCUGAAUGACUUCUUAUUUGCAGGUGUGGGUUCUUUUUGAGAAAGGAGAGCUAGUUCAAAUGGUUGAUCCUGAUUUGGGAGGGGAUAUUGAUGUUGAUGAGGCUACCAGGUAUCUGAAGAUUAGUCUUUUAUGCACCCAAGAUGUGCCUAAAAACCGGCCAUCCAUGUCUACCGUGGUGAAAAUGUUGACUGGAGAGAUAGAUUGGGAUGAAAAACAGAUAGCAAAACCUGGGAUUAUAGAGGAGCUUAUGAUUCUGAGGCAUAACAGUACCACAACUUAUACAGUCUCUGCUGGCUCUGGAAAGAAGGGAAAUUCAUCAUCUUCUGAGAACACAACCAUGACAUAUCCCUCCAUGAGUUUCUCUUCAAUAUAUGACCGGGACACUUCAAUAGAUGACCGGGACAGUUAGCUGCUAGAAGACUCAAACAGCAGCUUUGUUUAUCCUUCUAGGUUGCAGUUUUGAGCACUGAAUCUCUGUACAUUAUUUAAGGCUUCUUUUUCUUCCCUUAUUUUUUUUCAAUGCUCGGGCAAAUGAGCGAAAUAGACGCAAUGACAGACCACGCAACCAUGACCGUAGCAGAAACUUUGAGAGAAGAAACAUGGGCCAAGGGGGGCCUGGAGGGCCUAGGAACUUUGGUCCCACCAAUACAGGGGACAUACCCCCCAAUAACAUGGGAGGUGGUGCACCCAAUAGGGGUGGCAUGCCACCCAACAACCUCGGUGGCAUGCCAUCCAAUAACAUGGGAGGACAACAAGCACCGGGCUACAUGGGACAGCAACCGUCAAACUACAACAUGGGACAACAGCCACCAUCCUACAACAUGGGACAACAGCCACCAAACUACAACAUGGGACAGCAGCCACCACACUAUGGGGGACAACAGCCACCAAACUAUGGGGGACAACAGCCCCCAUCAAGCUAUAUGGGCGGAAAUCAGCACAACAUGGGAGGUGUGCCAAACAAUGCAGAAAAUUUCCAAUAUGAUAAUGCACCGAAGAGUGGAGGAGCACCUUAUCAACCUGGUCCUGGGCCGAAUCAGAACAAUUAUGCACCAAACGUGGCUGGUGGAAAUCCUUACCAGAACCAGAACAUGCCUGGAAGGGAUAUUCCACCGCCUCAAAACUAUCAAUAAGCAGACUGUGGAUGUAAAUGAAAUUUGUUAUCUUUAGGAUUUUGUCUUGAAAGCCUAAGCUUAUAUGGUAACCAGUGAGAUGAUGUUUAGUUUGGUGAUAUGUUUAUUUUUGGUUGAAUGGAAGUGGUUUAACAGUUGGGAGGAGAGUGGCAAGAAUAUUUUGCUCCUGCUGCCUUGAAUGUGAUGUACAAUUGGUAUAUCAUUGGCAGGCAAGUUACCCAAACCUGUAUUUUUCAUGUCCGUGGGAGCUCAGGUGAAACUUGUUAGCCUAUCAUGCUUGUUUAACCAAUAUUAGUUUCUCAUCAUGAUCUGAAAUUCGAAAUACAGCGCAAAAUGUUACUGAAGCGCUAAGCUAUCUGCAUACUUGUCCAACAUGGCUUACCAGCUGUUCACGAGAGUUCUGUAUAUCAAUGGAGAGGUUACUGGUGGAGAGAGGAUGUUAAACCAGUGACGUGUCCAUGUCUCCUCUAUCUUAGGUUAUAUUAAAAGUUAGUAAAAACAGAGUUAAACAUUGACAAUGGAAAUGAGUUCCCCUUCUUUGUCGAUUUCUUUACCACCUUAAUUCAGUAAUUUAACUGCUCGCAGUUCCUGCUUCUCUGAGAAAUAUGGAGAAAAAUAGGGAGAGCGGCGGGAACAAAUCAAAUGGAGCAAAAAUAGGGAGCGGGUUGGGACAUGGAAAUGAGUCAGCCAGGAAUAUAACGCACUCUAACCCCUAAUUCAGAAUGAGAAUUGUCGGUUACAAAGCAGAAUUCUAAAAGAUUACAGUAAUCUAUUUCAUUUUCAUGUUCACUUAUUGGAGAAUGACAACAUUCAUAUAUUGAGCUAAAGAUCAUAUUUAUAAUGCGUAAAGUGCUCCAUUCUCAUUGACUGAUUAGGAUCUUAGUUUAUUCUACCAACCCUCUGCUUUGGUCUGUAACCAGGAAUUAAUUUCGGAGUUGUCUUGAGUUGCAGAUUCAGCUCUUUUGAUCUUGGCUAGACGGAUUUGAUCCGCUAGAGAGACUUGGUGUUGUUCUGUUCUUGUGAACAAUGCAUCCAACUUUCCUACAUCCACGUUCUUCCAGGUUCGUUGGUGAUGACUGCUGAAAUGACUGCUAGCAGGUUUCAGUUUGUGGAUCUGAAAACAGCCAAAACAACCUCUAUGAACCACUACACUGAUAACACGAUCUAAGAUUUGAAACAAAAAGAAAAAGAGUACAGACAACAGCAUCCAGUUCUGACUGAAAUUUGAUACAACCCAACUAGAGAGUUCAUCAUAGGUAACUCCAAAGCAUGGGUCCUCUUCAAAGGAAACAAAUCAGUACAAAUAAUCUGCUCCUAAAUGCAACAUAUGUACUAAAUUAUGAACCCCUCAUUUAAAUUCUUCUAAACAGCAAAAUGUAUCAGUAACUAAAACAUGAGCACCGUACGAAGGCAUAGAGUGGUGUCCUUUUCAAAACCUAAAGUGCAAACGAAUUGUCAUUUAUUUUUGGCAAAUUCAUGUCUAGAGAACAAAAUUAAAACUAUAUCUAGCUUCAUUCACGUGGGGUUUCAAAGGUUUGUACCUUCGUCAGUUUUGCCUUCAAUUUAGAUUCUUGAUUGGCAGCAAAUUCUUCUCUCUCUUCCUUUGACCUUUUCCUUUUUCUAACUUUUGCCUUCUGCGCUAGUUCCCUUUUCCUUUGAGCAAGUAUUUUCUUUCUUUCAUCUCUUUCCUUUGCUGCUCUUUCUGCUAGUACAUGUGCCAUUUCCUUUUCCUUUGCCAUUUGUGCUGCACGCUCAAGAUGUUGGAGAGCUAUUGCUCUUUUCAUCUUCUCGUAGCUAUCCCAAUCUAGUUCUUGUUGGUCACUACCCCCUGUCUUAGCAACUCUAGCAAUGCUUUCAGCCCAUAACUGCAAAAGUUUUUCCUCUGACCUUUUCCAUUUCAAACGUUGUCCCCACAGCUUCUGCAGUGACCUGCUUAUUCUUGUCUUAGUCUGAUUACUGCAAAACAGAAUAACACUUUAGUUCUAAAUCUCCCAAGCUCAAGAGUCUUAAGUGUCAAUGUUGAACAUGGUAUGUCAAGCAUCCAUGCAAUGGUACAAACAGUUAGAGAGCUCAUGCUGUGUAUGAAAAGGGUGAAUUUUGGGGUCAAAUACAAGGAAAAACAGGGUAAUUGAAAAAUGGAGAAACAAAGUAUUUGUGAUGUGAAUGAUGCAUCUCAAUUCAAAAGGUCUAAGUUAUGAAAUAUCUUGGCAGUGGAUCUUACAUAAAAUUGUAGGCACUAGAACAUGUUAAGCUGAAUAUAAAUCAUGCAAAGUUGCACCAUACAUUCAAUUAGUUCUCUUGGGUGAGUCAACUGCAGCUAUAGGCCAUUCACAAUCUUUCUAUGGCAGGUUCUAGCUCUUAUAUGUAGCCACAUGUUAAAUUAAGAAGAAAGUUUGUCAACCACCGGAUAACAAAAGAAUUACAUCUUUAAUCCAGUCAAAGACAAGAAAGCACAAUACUGGUGCCUAAUGACUAUUCACCUGAAGUAGUGUUCCAGGAUUUUAGCAGCUCCUGACUAUAUUGGACUACAAGUUUGGGAAUAAUGCACAACAAAUUUCAUACUUGUAUAAUCUGCAUUUUAAAUUUAAAGAAGAGAAAAAAAAAGCAAAUAUACUGCAUAAGUAUCAAAAAAGCAAAUUGACUAUUUAGAGAGAGAGAGAAAAUAGAAAGUACCUAAGCGAGCGAGGGCAUUCAGACAUCUUCGCUCUUACCUGAUAAUUUUUACAGAGAAGGAAAAUGUUACAGAAAAUUAUAGCAGUAAAAGAAUGUGGUUUCACGGACCUUUGCUGCUAAUAAUAUACGGGAAGAGUUAGUGCAAAAUGUAACAGUAUGACCAGAGGAGCAGCCAUCUGAUGUCAAACACAUACUUUAUUGGCAGACUGUAAUCAUGAAGUAAUAAAUAUUUUCUAAAUUAGUAGGUUCUUACACGACUUCACCUUGGGAUCUCUCAAGGCUUCUUUUGUCCUUCGGCUGAUUAUCUCCCGUGUCUCUGCAUAUGUAGUAAGAGAAUUUAGAGUGACAAAAGCUUGAAGGAGAAAUAUUUCUAAUGCUGUCAAGGAGUUAAACAUGGUACCUUCACUGUGUUUUCUGCCUUUGUUCCAUGGGACUUUUCCUUUAUUUGCUAGUCCAAUCCUUUUUCUUCUUUGCAUUUCCCUUUCAUUCUCAGAGUUAGAAUUCUUUGCCAGAUUGGAAAGAUUAUCCUGUCGAGUAUCUUCAGUUAAAGGUUGGUCCUUUAAUAAACUAGAACAGUUUUUUUGACAAGAAUCCACAACGUGAAAUGUCUCCGCAAUACUAAUGCUGGCCGGAAAACUUCUACAAUGAUAAGGCACCAAGCACGAACUAACACAGGUAACCAAGGAAGAGACCUUCUUCACACGAGACACACCAACAAUCAACACUGUUGUGCUUGAUCGUGCUCGUAUGUGUUCAACUGCAUAACCAGAAUUUGGUACUAGUAGACUGUUGUCCUUGUGAAUAGGAGUGGAGAGCUUCCUGAGAGCAAUGUUGUGUCACUAAUAAACUAAACAUUCAUCAGGGCACAAAUUUUCUCUAUCUGGCUACGUCAUAACAUAAAUGACAGUACAGAAACCAGUGACGAGAAAAGCUUUAUUAGCAAGUUCAGAUGGGAAACGAAUCUUUUGACAAUUUAAGCUUCAUAUCAACCAAUAUUCAGCGCCACCAAGACCUACUUUUUAUUUUCCCAAGUAAAUGUCCCUAAUUAUCUGAAUAAACACAAAACAGGGAAAAGGUUGUAUUCAACUACUUACAUUCUAUUUAAUACCGUCACCACACAUGCUAAUAUGUUAGCCAUAAUCUUCAAGCAGAAAAGCAAAUUUCCAAACUGGUUUUCCAAUAUUUUCUGCAUUUGUAUAAAUAGGUAUCAGUAAUUGCACUAAAACCAUCCAGACCACUCAAUUUUGCCGGGGAAAAGAGCACAUAAAAUCUACUUGGAGUUCUAUAACUUGAAAUGCACAAUGUGGGAUUAAAUUAGCAAGCAAAUUCUGGAAAGUGGAGGAAACAUGACAGGAGAUCAUGAAAGAUUGCAACUUGGGAAGCUAUGAAUUGAAAUUGCAAAAACCCACAUCAAGAAUUUGACAGAAAAUACAGAGGCAAGUGAUGGGGAGCCUUACCAGGGAGACAAGAGCAUUGCAGUAAAGAAAAUGUACUACGAAUAGUUAUCUUAUUGAAUAGCCCCCAGAAUUCCAAAAGCAAUCGUCAGAUGGAGGAGGGGAGAACUGGCACUGGUUGAGUGAACAGUUUAGAUGCUCGAUGCAAGCAAUGAGGAAAAUCCUACGAUUGUCUUACACGCGCACCACGUAGCGGGUGUUGGAAAUCAUUAUCUAAUUUUUACACGCAAGCAUGAAAAUUGCCCUUGUUUUUGCCCUUUUUUACCUGUGUGUGUGUAACAUUUCAUGCAUUUUGGGUCGCUAGUUGUAGCUUUAACUGCUAAGCAACAUGAACAACCCAUAGGCUGAAAAAUCUUAAUCCAGAAUUUCGUCUUCCAACAAGCCCAGCCCAACCCAAUUCAAUUGGAUUCUUCUCCGCCGCUCCACGUCAUCUUCGAUCCGUAUAAAUGGAAACGCCCGUCUAAUUUCCACUUCAAUUCUCGGUCCUGACUCUGACUAGGAUUAGGGUUUUAACAUCUCCUUUUUUUCACUUUCCCUUCCUAUUACAUCAGCAAUGGAUCCGAUUAAGAAGAGGAAGCUCGAUGAAAACGGCGUUCUAUUACACGAUCCAGACGGCGCCGUCGCCGCAGGAAUGGUACCUUUCAAGCUUUCCGUCGAAGACGCGCGUAAAAUCCUCGAACCCUUUUCCCGCGAACAGCUACUCGAGAUCGUCCAAUCAGCCAUCCUUCGCCACGUGGACGUUCUCGACCUAGUACGAUCCAUCGCCGACCGGGACCCAGCACAGAGGAAGCUCUUCAUCCGCGGCCUUGGUUGGGAAACCACGACGGACAAGCUACGAGCUCUCUUCUCCCAAUACGGUGAUCUCGAAGAAGCUGUUGUAAUUCUCGACAAAGUCACUGGAAAAUCGAAAGGUUAUGGCUUUAUCACUUUCAAGCAUAUUGAUGGGGCAAUGGCAGCUCUUAAGGAACCUAGUAAGAAAAUUGAUGGUCGGAUGACGGUUACUCAGCUAGCGGCUGCUGGUGUGUCUGGUGGGCCGGGUGGCGGAGGGGGGAAUAAUCAGGUGGAUGUUUCGGAUAGGAAGAUUUAUGUGGCAAAUGUACCUUAUGAUAUGCCGGCUGAGAGGCUGUUAGCUCAUUUUUCCAUGUAUGGCGAAAUAGAAGAGGGACCAUUAGGCUUUGAUAAGGCAACGGGGAAAUCGAGAGGGUUUGCUUUAUUUGUGUAUAAAACUGCCAAUGCUGCGAGGGCGUCUUUGGUGGAUUCUGUGAAGAAUAUAGAUGGGCAUCAGUUGAACUGUAAACUUGCUAUUGAUGGGAAGAAGAAGCCAGGUCCUGGAGGGCCUCAGGGUGGUAAUGAAGGGAACAAUGAUGGUAUUGGGGUGGGGAUGCCUGGUGGGAUUGCUGCGCAAUAUGGUGGGCACGGUGGAGUUGGUGGUGUAACUGGAUAUAGUGGAUUUUCCGUGCCUUCGGUGGGUGGGAAUCAAUUGAAUUCGUCAUUAGGUAGUGGUGGUGGCGGCGUUGGUGUUGGUGGUCCAGGGAUGUCCGGUAUUGGCAGCCAAGGGAUGGGGUCUAAUUUAGGUGUUAGUGGUGGACUUGGUCCUUAUGGUGGCGGGACGCAUUAUGGUGGGCCUGGUUCUACUGGAUAUGGUGGGUUGGGUGGAGCUGGUGGAGGAUUGAGUGGUGUUGGGAGUGGAGUUGGUGGUGCUGGUCGUGGUUCUUUUUAUGGAUUGCCACCAAGCUCAGGUGGUAUGCCAACUGGAGAUUAUCAACAGGGGGCACACUAUGGCUUAUCUUCGUCUGGAUAUCAAAGCCAGCAUCAUCAGACAGCAGGAACCUCACCAGCUCCCAGAGUUCCAACUGGGGGAAUCUACCAAGGGGUGCCUCCUUACUAUUGAGGUAGAUUUUCUAAUUUAUUCUAAUAUUGCAUCAUUUUUUGAACAAAUGUGUCACUCCUUUCUACCUACAUUCUGCUGGUUCACCGUUCUCUCGUUGUACUCUCUUUUUGUGGUUUGUUUUAGGGAUUCUUGUCAAUUUUGGUGAUUGUUUAACCAUUCAUCACGUGAUCUGGAGUGAACAUGUUCUAUUGUAUUUUUUUAGUUGGAGUUAUAACUUGUUUGACAGUGAAUUCUUUCAUGGAUUUCUGCAUGAUUUGGGAGGUUGCAUGUUUUUGGUUUUGUUUUGGUGUUCAUUAAUAUGUCUGGUCAGUACCAUGCAUUUUUUGUUUUGUUUCAUUUUUUAUUACACUGUGCCAUUUUCAUACUUGUAUGUGAUGAACUGGUGCUUCAUACAAAGUGCAUCAUGGAUGGUUUAGUGCUUAUCGUUGUGUUUGUUGUUACCUUUCUCCCCCACUCUGUAUUAUUUGAACUUGUUGCUGAAUGAUACAUCGUAGAAGACUUUCCUAUAAUAAUUUCCAGAUUUAAGAAAGUGUUACCUCUGAGUUCUUCCAGCUUUUUAUUUGCAUGCAGAGUUAAUAUCGUACGCCAAUGUGCCUUAAAAGAUUUGAUUUUUUUUGAAUUUUGAGAAACUUGUUACCAUUUGAAUUGGUUGCAUGGUUCAAUUUGUUUCGGAUAAUACUUGGAAGUAAUUGGUGGAGAUAUGUUUUUUUCAUGUAGUGUAAAUGAGUCAGAAUUGAUGAUUGCAAUGUGCGGCAUUAGUAAGAAUAACAGUAUUGCUCUAUCUUUGCGCAACAUAGACCAUAUUUACAGGGGUUGACCUGUUUAUGUGCUUUUGUUCAUCCUGAUCGUUUUUGUUAUGUAAUUUUGGAGUUAGCCUCUGAUUUGGUCCCCAUGCUUGUGGGUUCAUUUAGCGAUUCUCUUGUUAGUCUACGCAGCCAGAAAGUCUUCUUUUGUUGUAGUCUGUUGUAUUUUUCUUUGUGCUGGUUCAUAUGAAGUCAUACAUCCUAUGAGAUGUUUUAUUUAUCUACUAUUCUAAAUUAAUGGGCAAGUUCUUUUUUGGAGGCUUCUGCUUCAUUUUUCUUAUGCACCAUCUACGGAUGAGAAUUAUGCUUUUACAACAUUUGGAUUGUAAACUAACAAAUUUUUUGCCUUAAGCUGAUAGCUGAAAGAAAGGGGUAAUCAACAGUAAAUCUUCAAAUUCUCUUCCUGGUUCUACCUGUGUUUGAUAUGUAUUUUAUGUGCAUCUACUUUGAUCACAUGAACCUAUGCUAUUCAUGUGAAUCUUCAAUAAUGCAUGAUUUACAUAUUUUUAACCUUCGUUCUCUUUGUAACAACAGCAGUAGUUUUUCUCACCGUUAUUGUAGUAUUCUAGAAAUUAUAAUUCCUUUUUUAUUUUUCCUUAUUGCGCUUGGUUGUUGGUUGUCUGAAUUUUGUCACUACUCAUUGUUGUUUUGCUCUGUGACAAGACCCUUUUUUUUGGGUGUAUCAUCUCUAGUGUCGGAGAGAAUUAUGGUGUGUUUGGUUACUUCUAUAUUGUCAUGGUGCUGCUGCUUCUUGGCUUAAAUUCUUGCCUUUUGUUUCUUGAGUUUUUAUGAUGUUUGAGCUUUGUUUUGCAAGGUGUAUGUGGAUUGACAUUUUAAGUUGUGAAUGGAUGUUUGGUUCAGGUGUGUGAGAGCUUGUUGGCGCAGUUGCUUUUUAUGGUUCUGGUGAUUUCGUGCAGACAAUAUGAACUCUGGCUUCAUGAUUUUGAUUUGCUGUGUAGUUUGGCUCUUCGAUACAUCUGCGCUUCAUGAUGUCAUCAAGUGAAAUGCUAGUAAUCUAAGUGACUGAGUAUUUUGUAUUUCUGAUCUAGAGCUUCUAUGCAAUUUGAGUCUGUACGAACUUAUUUAGAUUGCUAUGUGUUUUUAGGGAAAAAGAUAUGAAUUAGACUUUGACUUUAGUUGUUUGUUUUGCUGCGGGUGCAGCUGACUUUUGCUUAUGGCAUUUGACUUUAAUUGGUUCUGAUCUGUCUUUGGAGCAUCUGCCAUAUGUUUAGAUGCUAUGUUAUUUUUUAUGUAUUUGUUUGCCUUUUUUGGUUUCCUUGUGUAGUAUUCUGUCAAUUAGACAUUGCAUUUACAGUUGUCACCUUCCAGGCGUAAUCUAGUAAUCCACCACAAAUACAAAUCCUUGAUAAUUUUCUUUGAAGUGAGUUAGAGUGUGCAUUAGGUGAAUUAGACUAAAAGAGCAUUUUUUGGUUUCUCUCUUUGGGGCAAAAAGAAUGGAGGAAAUGAAAACGGAGGCACGAUAAGGAAAAUUGUCUACAUUAAAUUUUGAAAAUUUCAGUUGGAAGCUAAAUGUUAGGUAAGUGAAUUAUCUUCAUCUAGUGAAAAAACAUACAAUUAUGUGUUGCACUUGGAAAGACAACCAUUUAUGUGUUGCACUGACAUUUGAACUCUGAUUGCUUGACGGUAUCAUUUAUCGUGGACAAAUUGGAUGAAAGUUUUCUUGUUAAUCAGGUAUUUUUUGCACUCUGAUUCUUGUGGAAAAUUCUUGUAGUUCUUGAGUUGUGUCUUCUUGGAGUGGUCAACCAACCCCUGAUUGGCUUGUCCUAGGUCUCAACAUGAGUAAAAAUCAUGCAGUGUUCUAGCAAGCUAGUCAAAUUGAAUUGUUAUCAUUGGACACAAUAUUUUGCUAAUAGUUUUUGUUUUCUAUUUACAAUUUAGGCAUCAGAAGAUAUUUCUGUGAGUAGAUUUUGUGGCUUAGCCUGAGUACCGAUGCAUCUUUUUGAUGCUUAGCACGAGAGGUGGUGUAUCUUAAUGCCUGGCCUUAAGAAUUUGCUUUCUUAAUCGGGCUAUUUAUUCUUCAACUCUGAAGAAUUUUGGAUUUUUAGUAAAUAAACUAUGGUAUAAUUGUUAUGUGUUCCUGUUGACAUGUUUUUAGAAAUUGAAGUGGCGCUUGUAGGUAUUUUGUUUUACUCAAGUUCUGCUCUCUCAUCUGUCUCCUUCAAAUGGAACCUUAAGCUCUUAGUCUUAUGUUCUUUUGGUGAAAUGUGUUGGUUGGUAUACAUUCUCUGUUUUAGAAAAUUUUCUAUUGAAAGUGGAUGAGAUUGAACUGGUAAUCAUUUGGAGAAGUUCUUUAGAUGCCCAAGUUGGAAAGAAGAUGACACAUCAGCAAACCUGUUGGUAAGCCAAUAGUCGUAUGUAGACUUUAUCUAAGACCGAGAACUCAUAUCUCUAAGGCAGAAACUGCUGGAAAAAUGAUCAACAAAAAUCAGAACAGGAAAAGCAAAGAGAAAGCAGAGAAAAUUUGAGAUUGAUAAUAAGAAUGAAUUAGAAAUUUUAGGAGUCACUUCUUUGUACCAUUAGUCAUUUUAUCACACUAACCCUAAAAAGACGUCAAAUCUGCAGGAAUUCAAGAGGGUAAUAAAAUAUUUGCACCCUGCCGUUUGUCUCUAGGUUGACUGGUUUGUGAUUCCAUUUGUGGCCAAAACUCUCCUCCCUAGUUUCCAGUGACAUCAAUAAUGGACAUGUCAGAGGGUUCAUUAUAGUCUUUUCAGUUUGUUAGCGUUGUUGUUCGGUCUAGUGCCUUUUUUGGGUAAACGGGGAAUUCUGCCAUGUUGCUUUAUUUGUUGAUUUACUCUCAUGACAGUGUUCCUAUGACUGAAUCGGUAAUUGUCCGAGUGUGCUACUCCCUUCUUGAUGACUUGAUGAUGCCGUUGUCCUAUAAUAAUAAGCUGUAAAUGUCCUUUGGAAUCACCCUUUGGUCAUAUAACUGACUUGGGGUGGCUAACAAUGGCUAAUGCUAUAUUGGCCCCAUCUGGGUAUGUUUGAAAUUGCUAUCCUAUAAGGUUCAGAAGUCCCUUUCCUCUUUGAGAUUGUGAAACAGUCUUUGCAUAAAUCUGCUGGAGCAAUCAAGGUCGCGGCAACUUGCCAAUCAUCUGGGCGACUUGUUUGCCCGAAGAAAGUAUACCAUCACAUCAUGGGGCGGUUAUAGAGGAAGUCUGGAAUAAGAGUGUCAUUGAAUGUAAUGUACAUUUCGAGAAACUCUUGGGCGGAUGUAAUCUGUUACCAUAUAUGAAAAUGUUCCCAGAUUGGAAUAUCUUCUAGUCGAUUGUAUGGAUGUUGAAUUUUUGUGUAGUCGCGUCAUCUUUUGAUUGAAGAAAUAAAGCAGCAGCAGAAGCAGCAAUGCUGUUAACUGGAUGACUAGAAAGGCUCAUUCCUAGUGAUGCGGGAUAAAAGCUCUCCAGAUGGACAAGAGAGGAAGUGGGGACAAAGAGGGAUGUGUAAAAAUAUCCACGUUCACUGUGGUUUAGGGGUUGAACUUGCUGCUAGCUCAAAUUUCUCAAAAUUUUGUCACUCGUGAUUUUGAUUUGCAAAUUAAUAAAUCUCGGUAGUGUCGUGCAGGUCAUGACAGAAGGUUAAAACAUGCUACGUUACAUAAUAAACAAAAUAUCAAAAAAAUUGUUGGAUUGUCAAAUGGCAAAUGCCGGUUGGUUAUCGGUUUUUUUUUUUUUUUUUUUGUUGGGGGGGGGGGGGGGGCGCGAUGUGGCGGCGGGGUUUCUUGGGCUUGGUGUGGUUUUGUAUACCGGGCAAACAAAGUCGUAUAUUAGUUAAUGUGUUAUGCGGGCUGAAUUUCUAAGAAUAUUAUUGUUAAAAUUUAAAGUUGUUAUAAAAUUGGUGUAGUUUGGGGAGUGUUUCUGAUUUAAGGAUCAUCGCACUUUCGAUACGAGGCUUUCAAUAAAAAUGUUUUUAAUUUUCAUUUAUUUUGAGUUGCUUUAGUUUUCUUUUUUUUUUUAAUUUUUUGCAAAAGCUUCGGGUUUUUUUUUUUUUUUUGGCUUGCUUUAGUUUUCUCAAUUUUCUCUUUUUUGUUUUUUGUUUGUUUGGCAAGCUAAUGAGCGGCUAAGCAUUUACCAUCGGGACCAGUCAUCGUGAUGUGAUCAGGCUGGUCUGCGGCACAUUUUUUUAAAAUUUUUUUUUAUUUUUUCCUGACGCCGCAAAUUUGAUUGGUGGCGUCAGUUAUGGACCGUUGAUCACAAUGUGAUCAAUGGAUGCAGAUUGAGGCCAAAAUAAUUGUCUAAAAUAAUUUUUUAAAAAGUGAAACGGCAUUUUUUUUAAGUAAAAUCGCAAAUCUCAAUUGCGGCGAUAUUUGUCUUAGAUACGGUCAAACUCCGGUGUUCGAUCCUUCUGUUGAUGAUGACAAUGAUGACGACCACACGCUUUGAACAAGUUUAUGCACCACUUCGGAGGUUCGAACGAUUACAAUUAGGAUAAAUUCUAUCACACGAAAGGAUUCAUUGCAAAUGUGGCUGUUCUAUCACUUCGCGCGAUAAGGGCAAGAGGGGCAUUGAUAGGUGAUAUUUAGAUUUUUUGGAUUUUUCUUAUCGAACCUUUUGUUUUAUUAUCAUUUAAGUUCAUAUGCUAAUUAUUACAUCCUAUAAAUAUUGUUCAACGCUGCAUUAUUUAAAUUAACAUUCACAUUAAAAAUUUCAAAAAUAUGACUUAGGCAAAUUUUAUUAGUAUUUUAAUAGCAUACUUGAUUAUCAUCUAAAUUUAUAAAAUUAACAUAGUAUCGCAUAUUAAAUUUUUGACAAUUCUGGUUUAUAAUAGGAUUUUAGUAAUGGGGUUUUUAGUAAUAUGGUUUAAGGAUUUUGAUUUUAAGAUUACGGUUAAAGGGUUUAUGUUUAUAUUAAGGGUUACACUGUGAGGACCUGAAAAUUGAGAUUUCAUGUUAGGUAAAACGUUAAACCUAAACCCUAAUUAAAAAAAAAGGUUACGUUAUAUGAAAAAAAAAGCUUCCUCGCUGGUUAGUUUUAUUAAAAAAAAAAAGAAAAGAAUCUAUCGCCGCUCAGGAGUGGCGAUACAAAAAAAAAAAAUCGCCACUCAUGGAAAACAAAGAAGAAGAAAAACCUUUCAUGAGCGGCGAAGCUUUUGCAAAAAUUUUUUUUUUAAAAAAGAAAACUUAAGCAAUCAAAAAUAAAUGAAAAUUAAAAGCAUUUUUAUUGGAAGCCUCACAUCGAAUUUGCGGCGACCCCUAAUUCGAAACCCACCCUCAAACAGCACCAAUUUUGGGACAAUUUUUAUUUUUGACAAUAUUGCAAGAAAUUCGCGUUAUUCGGUGAUAUAAAAAUAAUACUACAGUUUUUAAAAUAUAAACCCAUAAAUUCUAGAAUACGCUUUUUCCUUUACACACUGAAAUGGGUUUUGGUCUUGGGUUAAGCUGAAACAUACCGAGUUAAUGUAUUGCAUUUUGUAUUUAACAGGUUUCCAGCUCUAUUUCGUGCCAGCGGGGAGAAUGAAGUAUUUUAAAUUAAGGUCGAGUGUCUUUGAUAUCUUAGACUCAGGAGGAUACCGCUCGUUUAUGGGAUAUGAUCAGUACAACUUGACGGGCUAUGGCACUUAAUCAGCAAGCGUUUUAACAGCAGUUCUCGUGAUUUCUGAAUCAGUAGUGUCAGUUCCACCAAAAAUAAAAUGCCCUCGUCUCCUGAGUGAAGAGCACAAACGGCAACCAGAUUGUUCGAAUUUGCAAAAACUUGGAGACCAAGAAUACCCCCCGCCCCAACCCCGGCUCCCUCCAGAACCUGCCAAUUUCACCAUAUACUACUAGUACAUUAGUCAUCCGGCAACCCUCUUCCCAAUUUGGCCAUCUACUCCAUCCAGGGUUUUACUUUUCCACUAUUAGUAAUACAUACACCUCAGGCGGGCUGAACUUAUCCAUUUUUUCACAGAGAUCAACGGUUGAUUUCUGAUUUCUUACUGUCCUUCGGCAAACUGCAGAAAUGAACCAAAUCAAGGUUUCCAAGGAUUUAGACUCUGAAAGAAAGAGAAUAUUCUCUUCAAAGCUCAAGCUCUCCAAUGGCUGCUCUUCCAUCACUCCACCCACUCCUCCUAGAGUCAAUCUUGAGUCAUUUUCCCUGCACCGACUCCAUCAGAUGCAUUCCACCGUUACCGCUAACCCAAAUCCUGAUGAUCUCAAGGAAACCAGAAAACUUGAAGCUUCAUUGAACGUCGAAAACCAAGAAAAACAAAUCCUUCACAACAUUUUGCACUCCUUCACGAAAUCCCGAUUAGUUGAAAUCCUUCAGGAAGCUGCCGUUGCCCACCCCGCCAUUCUCCAUGCCGUUCUUUCCAUCGUUGAUGACAACCCAUCCCACCGCAAGAUCUUUAUCAGAAAUCUUGGCCCUAAAACCACCCCUGAAAAUCUCCACAGCUUCUUCUCAAAUUACGGAGAAGUUGAAGAAGCUAAAGUCAUCUUUGACAGGACCACUGGAUAUAGUAAGGGCUAUGGUUUUGUUACUUUCAAGAAUGCCGAGUCUUUCUUGCUUGCCCUGGAAAACCCCAGCAAGAAAAUUGAUGGAUUCGUCAGUUUUACCAGCAUUUGCGUUGGGCCCGAUCAUUCAUCAGGGAAGACUGAUGAUAGUAGUAUCAGUAGCGAUGAGAUGGAGAAAAUGAGAAUGAAAAGGAAAAUUCGGGUGGAGAAUGUGCCAGCCGAGAUGAGUUCUGAGACUCUGUUGAGUUUUUUUGAGAAGUACGGUGAAAUUGAAGAAGGGCCUUGGGGGUUUGAUAUGGGGACAGGGAAAUCAAGAGGGUUCGCUUAUCUUUUGUAUAAGAAUGCGGAAAGUGCAAAAGCUGCUUUGGCUGAGAGGGUGAAAUUUGUUGAUGGUUUCCGGCUGGUUUGCAAAAUGGUGUUGAGGGAAAGGGAGAGAAGUAAUAGGAACCCAACGGAUAUAGUGGAGCCACUGCCUUCGCCUCCGAGAACUUUGGUUUUGCCUGUUUCCUAUUACUAUUGUGUCUAUUAUUCUCGUCGAUUGGUUCCCUACAAUUAUUACUAUCAGAAUGAGCCUGUUAUGGGCGGCAGUAGCGGCCAAUUGGGGCCUUGGACUGAAGGACAAUCAUCAUCAGCUUUACGUCCUGCUCCUCGGAUUGCUGGUGCUGCUAAUUCUGGAGCUUCUUCGCCUUCUGGAAGAUAGAGUCCGUGCUGCAGAUUUUGAAGGACUAAAAUGUUGAGGCUGGUUUGUUGCAAUCUUGUACAGCAGAAUGAGUUCAGAGCACUAUUUCUAAUCUUUACUUGGUGACAGCGUUCGUUAAAGAUGUGAUUAAGAGAUAGUAGUAGUAUAUUAGUAUUAGCUAUUGACAUUAAGGAGGAAGAGGUACACAACCAGGUUAUUUUGGAUUUUGUAGUAGGUUGAAGUACUGCAUAGCCCUCUUUUUUAUUUUUGUUUAGCAUUGAGGGUAUUGCUUAAGAGAUAGCAUGCACAAAUGAGAGGGAUUUUUUUUUUCUGGCUUAAAAUGCUUGUUCAAUAUUAUUUCAUUAAGUGUGUGUAUAUAUAUAUAUAUAUAUAACUAUAUAUACACACACACAUACACACAUAUAUGUUGGCCUAGUAAAGUUUUACAAAGGGAGAUAUACUGCGUUUAAAUAAUAAUUGGAUCAAUUGCGUAAGGAUCAAGUACAUCUACUUAUGUUGUUCUUGUUCUCGUAUUAUAUGUUGUACAUGCAUCCUCUGGUUUCUCUGCAUUCAGUGUUAGCUUGGACUUGCAACUUAUGCAAAAUCACUAAUUUAGAUGAAUUAUAGAUAUUAUAGCUAGUCAAAUCUAUUGGAUUCUUGAUGGAAAGUUGGCCUUCUUUGGAUUGUGACUUUUUGUAAAAAAAAGUUUUUUCGUUUUCGGUGAACACACAUUUUUACUAGGUCUUCUGUUCUCAUGGAAGGGGAAAAAAUUAAGAAUAACGUGAAGGAAAAAUAAUUAGAAAGACGAAAAAUAAUCUAGAAGACAAAUAAAUAAAAAAGGCAGGGUAGGUCCUUAGCCUCUGCUUGACCCAAAUUAAAGGUAAAAAGAACAUUCCCAAAGGCCAAAAGCAAAUUCAAAAAAAAAAAAAAAAAAAAAAAAGAGUCCAGUCAACCCCUAUAUGGUAUAUACCACGACAAGGUAAUUAAAAGCAAAGGAAAACAGCAAAAGCCUUAUCUAAUAGAGUAUCAAUUUCCAGUUCCAAAUGAUUAACCUAUUGAGGAAUUGAUAAUAACCCUCUGAUAAAUAUAGACAUUAGUAAUUGCUAAAUUGAUUCAAAUCACUCCUGCUCAAUAAUUCAUGGGGGCCACAAUAAAUUUACCAACACCACCACCACCACCACCACCACCCCCAAAAAAAAAA